GUGCAGUCCGAUAAGGGCUGCUUUUCCAUAGAGUAAUAUCCUGUGGGAAUAAGAGGGGGGCAAGACUGGUGUCAGCCGCCGCGGUAACACCAGCCCCUCGAGUGGUGGGGACUUUUAUUUGGCCUAAAGCGUCCGUAGCCGGCUGUGUCCGUCCCCCGUUAAAUCCGGCGUCUCAAGCGUCGGACUGCGGGUGAUACCACACAGCUAGAGGGUGGGAUAGGUGAGCGGUAUUUCCGGGGUAGGGGCGAAAUCCUUUGAUCCCGGGAGGACCACCAGUGGCGAAGGCUGCUCACUAGAACACGCCUGACGGUCAGGGACGAAAGCUGGGGCAGCGAACCGGAUUAGAUACCCGGGUAGUCCCAGCUGUAAACGAUGCGCGCUAGGUGUUGGGUCGGCCACGCGCCGCCCCAGUGCCGCAGGGAAGCCGUUAAGCGCGCCGCCUGGGGAGUACGGCCGCAAGGCUGAAACUUAAAGGAAUUGGCGGGGGAGCACCACCAGGCGUGAAGCCUGCGGUUUAAUUGGAGUCAACGCCGGGAAUCUUACCGGGAUCGACAGCAGAGUGAAGGCCAGAUUGAAGGUCUUGCUAGACGAGCUGAGAAGAAGUGCAUGGCC
rnacentral:rRNA from 1 species